rnacentral:misc_RNA from 1 species
AUCAUGACAGAGCAAGAAGAAGAAAGUCAAAUGUCCACAUGAGUUCCCUUUAACGCUUCAUUGUUGAAUACUCAAAGCCACAUUGGUUUGUAUAUAACACUGAAGUGUUUGGGGGGACUCUUGGUGUCAUUCUGGCGUUGAAGUGGCCACC